rnacentral:rRNA from 1 species
GAUGAACGCUGGCGGCGUGCUUAACACAUGCAAGUCGAACGGACUUUUAUUGAAGCCUAGCGAUAUAAAAGUUAGUGGCGGACGGGUGAGUAACGCGUGAAUAACCUGCCUUAUACUGGGGGACGACGAGUUGGAAACGACUGCUAAUACCGCAUAAGCGCACUAAAGCUAGCAUGGCUCAGUGUGAAAAACUCCGGUAGGUAUAAGAUGGAUUCGCGUCUGAUUAGCUAGUUGGUGAGGUAACGGCUCGCCAAGGCGACGAUCAGUAGCCGGCCUGAGAGGGUGAACGGCCACAUUGGGACUGGAGACACGGCCCAA